rnacentral:rRNA from 1 species
CCUACGGGAGGCAGCAGUGAGGAAUAUUGGACAAUGGACGCAAGUCUGAACCAGCCAUGCCGCGUGCAGGAAGACGGCUCUAUGAGUUGUAAACUGCUUUUGUACGAGGGUAAAUCCCGAUACGUGUAUCGGGUUGAAAGUAUCGUACGCAUAAGGAUCGGCUCACUCCGUGCCAGCAGCCGCGGUAAUACGGAGGAUUCAAGCGUUAUCCGGAUUUAUUGGGUUUAAAGGGGGCGUAGGCGGUUGGAUAAGUUAGAGGUGAAAGCCCGGGGCUCAACUCCGGCACUGCCUCUGAUACUGUCGGGCUAGAGUGUAGUUGCGGUAGGCGGAAUGUAUGGUGUAGCGGUGAAAUGCAUAGAGAUCAUACAGAACACCGAUUGCGAAGGCAGCUUACCAAACUACGACUGACGUUGAGGCACGAAAGCGUGGGGAGCAAACAGGAUUAGAUACCCGUGUAGUC